UUUACUUAUUUAUUUAUUUUUCGAGACAAGAUCUUGCUGUGUAGUUCAGGCUAGCCUUGAACUCAUGAUGAUCCUCAUGCCUCAGCCUCCCACGUGCUGGAAUUCAGGCCUAAAGCAGAUGAAGAUGCUAAGUGACAAACAUCUAGAUCCCCGGACACCAGCUGGACAGGUUAGGUUCUACUGUGGCUGGAAGGGCCUGUUAGGGCCAGGCCCCAGGGGACCGGAAGACACAAACAGGGAAGCUUUGACCUACUCCCAGCGACAAUGGGAAGCUCCGGAGUGACAUGAACAGAUUUGUGCCUCAGCCAUGCUGGUGGCUGCACAGAGGAUUCAGGAGCUUCAGGACUGAAGGAGGAAGCAGUUACUACUGAUGCAGCAUCUGGACGAGAGUGCUAAGCAGGGCAGCUCCCUGAGGUCCAGGGAGAUAACAUGUCCGAGACCACUGGACCUGCAUGGGGAGGAGGAAGGGCGGUUUACGAUGGCCCUGGUUUCUGGCGUAGGUAGCAGUUACAUACACAAGGGCAGGAAUAAUGGAGGAAGUGCAGGAUUUGAGGGUAGGGGACACACUUGGUCACUCACAUGAUGAGCAGGAGGCAGCUGUCACCCUCUUGGAGAUAUCUGCUCCUUAGAUCUGGUGACAUGGAAUUCAGGGUGCAGGGCUUGAGAAAUGGAGUUGAGAGUCCCAGGGUCCACAAGAUAGUAGCAGGCACAGGUGACCUCAUCCAUGCUUUUUUUCAAUAAAAUAACGUACAUUUCGUACUGUAGUAAGAUUCAUCUAAGAAUCACCAUACUAGCUUAUGUGAUGGUGCAUGCCUGUAAUCCCAGCACUCCGGGAGGCUGAAGCAGGAGGACCACAAGUAUGAGCUCAACCUGGGCAAGUUAAUUACUUAGUAAGAACUUGUCUUAAAAAAAAAAAGUUCGGGGUGGGGGCUAGAAAUAUAUCUCAUUGAAGGCCCAGGUUCAAUCUCCAGUACUGAAAAAACACAAUCAAUCACCAUAUGCAGUCUUAAAAGUACACAGCUCAGUAGCAUUUAGUAUAUACUUAGUGUUUUACAGUUAUCACUCCUGUCUAGUUCUUGAAUAUCUUCACCACUCCAACAGGAAAUUGUGUAAGACUUCACCUCCCCAUCCCUCGCUCAGCCCUAGCAACCACGGAUCUGUUUCUGUCUGUACCGAUUUGCUAAUCCAGACAUCUGGUGUAAAUGGGAUGAUAUAAUGUGUGGCCUCGG